rnacentral:rRNA from 1 species
UGCCAGCCGCCGCGGUAAUACGGAGGGGGUUAGCGUUGUUCGGAAUUACUGGGCGUAAAGCGCGCGUAGGCGGAUUGGAAAGUUGGGGGUGAAAUCCCGGGGCUCAACCCCGGAACUGCCUCCAAAACUGCCAGUCUAGAGUUCGAGAGAGGUGAGUGGAAUUCCAAGUGUAGAGGUGAAAUUCGUAGAUAUUUGGAGGAACACCAAUUGCGAAGGCAGAUCACUAACACUAUAUUGACGCUGAGGGACGAAAGCGUGGGGAGCGAACAGGAUUAGAUA